rnacentral:rRNA from 1 species
UCGGGGUACACGAGCGGCGAACGGGUGAGUAACACGUGGGUAACCUGCCCUGUACUCUGGGAUAAGCCUGGGAAACUAGGUCUAAUACCGGAUAUGACCACCAGGGGCAUCUUUGGUGGUGGAAAGUUCCGGCGGUACGGGAUGGACCCGCGGCCUAUCAGCUUGUUGGUGGGGUGAUGGCCUACCAAGGCGACGACGGGUAGCCGGCCUGAGAGGGUGACCGGCCACACUGGGACUGAGACACGGCCCAGACUCCUACGGGAGGCAGCAGUGGGGAAUAUUGCACAAUGGGCGAAAGCCUGAUGCAGCGACGCCGCGUGAGGGAUGACGGCCUUCGGGUUGUAAACCUCUUUCAGCAGGGACGAAGCGCAAGUGACGGUACCUGCAGAAGAAGCACCGGCUAACUACGUGCCAGCAGCCGCGGUAAUACGUAGGGUGCGAGCGUUGUCCGGAAUUAUUGGGCGUAAAGAGCUCGUAGGCGGUUUGUUGCGUCGGCCGUGAAAACUUCACGCUUAACGUGGAGCCUGCGGUCGAUACGGGCAGACUUGAGUUCGGCAGGGGAGACUGGAAUUCCUGGUGUAGCGGUGAAAUGCGCAGAUAUCAGGAGGAACACCGGUGGCGAAGGCGGGUCUCUGGGCCGAUACUGACGCUGAGGAGCGA